AGGACACCCACCCUUGGAAUGCAGCCACCAUGUUGUGAGGAAGCCCAAGCCACAUGGGAGAGGUGACAUGAAGUGGUCUGGCCGAUAUCUCCAGCUAGGCUCUCAGGCAACAGCCUGCCUCAACCACCAGCUAGGUGGUGAACUGAGACAAUUCCGGCCCCCAGCCUUUGAGUCUUUCAGCCAACGUUCCAGAUAAGGAGCAGAGACAAGCCAACCCCACCGUACCCUGUCUGAAUCUCUCUCCCACAGAAAUUGGGAGAUAAGAAGUGAUUGUUGUUGUUUUUAAGCCGAUUAGUCCGUUAAAUACAAAGAAAACAUUGCAGUGAAACUGGACAGGAGGACCAUUGUAUCGGUAAGCAGUACUGACUCACGGCACACGGCAUCUGGGGUGACCAGGAGGAAGACAAGCUUCAAGCUGAAGGUUGAGCAGCAUCUUCUUAAAACGCAGAAGACAUCCUUGAGGAACCCUAAGUAUUUAGCUGGAAUCUUGUGCUGGUGGCCAAUUGUCUCCAUGUGUGUGCUUGGGAGAAUAAAAGGAAACGAACUGGUUUUCUUUCAACACUGUCCUCACUCACCUGGCACCUGAGAAAGAAAGAGGGAGAGAGGAACAGGAGGGGAAAAGGAGAAGCUUUCUGAAUUUGAGGAACAAAAUUUCAGCUGCCCAGAGACUGUCUAGAGGGGUGUCUGCUUCUCCCGCCCUUCCUUCUCUCCCCUCACCACCUCCCCGGAGGCAUCUGGGACCUCACUCUCACCACUUACCUCCUCCCCUCUCUGCUACAAGCGAGUCCAGAUUUUUAGUAAUCUGUUGACCAUGUUGAAGUUUAUCUGAGCUCUGUGCUCCCAGAGAGCCGGGGAGCUGGGACAGUGGAGAAACUGCAAAGGACAACCGUGCCCUCACGUAUUCAGCUUAUUCCCAUCCCACUCUUCAGAUGAGACCCACCCCACUACAGAUGAGAUACAUUCCAGCCUUCAGAUGAGACCUGCUGCCCACUCUCCUCCCCACUCUCUUGCCUCUGUAAAACCCCUCCUGCCUUUUCUCGGAGAUAUUCUGCAUUAAUGAAUGACCUCCCUCUUGCUAGAGCCUGAAUAAGAUCAUCUCUUUAAUUAUCCAGUGUAUUUCUUUCACACUGUGCUGCCCAUCCUGGGAGUCUGAAAUAGAACCAUAAGCACAU